CACAGGAUUCCUAAAAUUGGGCGCCAUGCUUGGAAACAUCAUGGUGGAUCUGCUCAAAUUCGGGGAACGCUCUGGUGUCUAGCCGUGCCAAUCCCGAGCCAAAUAUGCGUCCGCAAGGUAGCAUGGAGGUGUAGAGACUGUACGGGCAGCGCCUGUCGUCCGGUUGUCCGGGCUAUGGUGAAGAGACAGUCCAGACCACGAACGGUGCG
rnacentral:autocatalytically_spliced_intron from 1 species